CGAGAGGACAAGAGAGGGCGCGGAUUGAUUAGUGGACGGACCGGCCUGAAGCCGUCAAAAGAGCUGCCGUUCUUGCAGAGAAGUGGCCAAGUUGCAGCAGGCACGAACUCCUAAGAUAUCAUAUAUCCUCGUGUGCAUGGCUUCCGUCUCCGCGUCUUCUUCUCCAUGUGAGUCCAUGUAUGUGUGGGUUGUUGGUUGCAUGCGGAAGAUUUUUCAUUUGUCAUUGACAAAACUUGCCCUCUUCAUUCCAAAUUAGGAAGUGAUAGUGUAGAGAUCCCAUGCACAACUCAAAAUUUGCAGGCAUUUGUUAUCCACAGAGUGGUUCAAUUGGUUAUUUGUGUUAAUCUCUAGUGAUAAUGUGGGCAUGUGAGAUGGUUGUCUUAAAGUUUUACUUUCUUCAUCAGUUUAAGGCGGCGCUUGGUUUGAGGUUAUUGUGGAUCGAAAUUUCGGUCAAUUUGGU
rnacentral:lncRNA from 1 species